rnacentral:rRNA from 1 species
UGAGGAAUAUUGGUCAAUGGACGAGAGUCUGAACCAGCCAAGUAGCGUGCAGGAUGACGGCCCUAUGGGUUGUAAACUGCUUUUGUUUGGGAAUAAUCGACAUUACGUGUAAUGUUUUGCAUGUACCAUUCGAAUAAGGACCGGCUAAUUCCGUGCCAGCAGCCGCGGUAAUACGGAAGGUCCAGGCGUUAUCCGGAUUUAUUGGGUUUAAAGGGAGCGUAGGCUGUUUGUUAAGCGUGUUGUGAAAUGUAAGAGCUCAACUUUUAGAUUGCAGCGCGAACUGGCAGACUUGAGUGCGCACAACGUAGGCGGAAUUCAUGGUGUAGCGGUGAAAUGAUUAGAUAUCAUGAAGAACUCCGAUUGCGAAGGCAGCUUACGGGAGCGCAACUGACGCUGAAGCUCGAAGGUGCGGGUAUCGAACAGG